rnacentral:rRNA from 1 species
GAUGAACGCUGGCGGCGUGCCUAAUACAUGCAAGUCGAGCGAACGGACGAGGAGCUUGCUCCUCUGAUGUUAGCGGCGGACGGGUGAGUAACACGUGGAUAACCUACCUAUAAGACUGGGAUAACUUCGGGAAACCGGAGCUAAUACCGGAUAAUAUAUUGAACCGCAUGGUUCAAUAGUGAAAGACGGUCUUGCUGUCACUUAUAGAUGGAUCCGCGCUGCAUUAGCUAGUUGGUAAGGUAACGGCUUACCAAGGCAACGAUGCGUAGCCGACCUGAGAGGGUGAUCGGCCACACUGGAACUGAGACACGGUCCAGACUCCUACGGGAGGCAGCAGUAGGGAAUCUUCCGCAAUGGGCGAAAGCUUGACGGAGCAACGCCGCGUGAGUGAUGAAGGUCUUCGGAUCGUAAAACUCUGUUAUUAGGGAAGAACAAAUGUGUAAGUAACUAUGCACGUCUUGACGGUACCUAAUCAGAAAGCCACGGCUAACUACGUG